CGCCCCGCGGCCGUUACCACUUGAAGCACUCCAGCUCUGGGAGAGGAGUCAGCUACAAUGUUGUGAGGACAAUCAAGCCAUCUUGUGGAGAGGCACCGAGAUUUCCUGCCACCAGCCAGCCAUAUGAAUGAUCCAUGGGCCACCCUAAAGAAGAGACACCUCCACCCCCACCAGGGGCCUUCAUCUUGAGGAUUAGGUAAUAGCAAAACUAUUCUGGAAUUGCUCCAUACAGGGAGGGGGGAAAGCUGGUACUGGUUCAGGAAGAAGGCAAGUGGCCAGGCCUAAGGGAUGAAUGACCUCCCCCCAGGCUGGGAAGGGUUUUUUGGGAACGGAAACCUGUCCCUGGCUUGUAUGCAGUCCCUGUGUGUAUGUAGUUCGUGGAGUGGGGAGAGCUGCAUGGGGUGUCUGGGAAAGGGGGGUCCUGCACCUGCAGGCAGUAAAGACAUGCCUACUUCUUCACCGCUGCACAGCUGGCUUGCAGGCUAGGGAGCUGUGCCCUGCAGUAGUGGUACCUCAAGAGUCAUGGACUAGUAGCAUCAAGAAUGGGAAGGAAGAAAACCCUUCCCCAAAUUUUGGGACUUUACAGCCCCAGAGAGAAGGGAGGGGGAGAACCUCAAAUCGUGACUAAUGGAUUUCCCGCCAACACUGACAGGUGGGAGCUGAGCCAGAUUUCUUUAAUUUGUAAAAUUAAAAGAUAUAUGACGCUUCUUGCCCCAGAGUCAGUGGCAGCGAAUUCACUUCAG